GACGAACGCUGGCGGCGUGCCUAAUACAUGCAAGUCGAACGAGAGCGACCGGUGCUUGCACUGGUCAAUCUAGUGGCGAACGGGUGAGUAACACGUGGGUAACCUGCCCAUCAGAGGGGGAUAACAUUCGGAAACGGAUGCUAAAACCGCAUAGGUCCUUUAACCGCAUGGUUGAAGGAGGAAAAGAGGCGCAAGCUUCUGCUGAUGGAUGGACCCGCGGUGCAUUAGCUAGUUGGUGAGGUAACGGCUCACCAAGGCCGUGAUGCAUAGCCGACCUGAGAGGGUGAUCGGCCACAUUGGGACUGAGACACGGCCCAAACUCCUACGGGAGGCAGCAGUAGGGAAUCUUCCGCAAUGGACGCAAGUCUGACGGAGCAACGCCGCGUGAGUGAAGAAGGUUUUCGGAUCGUAAAACUCUGUUGUUAGAGAAGAACAAGUGCUAGAGUAACUGUUAG
rnacentral:rRNA from 1 species